CACGUAGGGCGCAAGCGUUGUCCGGAAUUAUUGGGCGUAAAGAGCUCGUAGGCGGUCUGUCGCGUCGGAUGUGAAAGCCCGGGGCUUAACCCCGGGUCUGCAUUCGAUACGGGCAGACUAGAGUGUGGUAGGGGAGAUCGGAAUUCCUGGUGUAGCGGUGAAAUGCGCAGAUAUCAGGAGGAACACCGGUGGCGAAGGCGGAUCUCUGGGCCAUUACUGACGCUGAGGCGCGAAAGCCAGGGGAGCAAACGGG
rnacentral:rRNA from 1 species